rnacentral:rRNA from 1 species
GACGAACGCGGCGGCGUGCCUAAUACAUGCAAGUAGAACGCUGAAGGAGGAGCUUGCUUCUCUGGAUGAGUUGCGAACGGGUGAGUAACGCGUAGGUAACCUGCCUGGUAGCGGGGGAUAACUAUUGGAAACGAUAGCUAAUACCGCAUAAGAGUAGAUGUUGCAUGACAUUUGCUUAAAAGGUGCACUUGCAUCACUACCAGAUGGACCUGCGUUGUAUUAGCUAGUUGGUGUGGUAACGGCUCACCAAGGCGACGAUACAUAGCCGACCUGAGAGGGUGAUCGGCCACACUGGGACUGAGACACGGCCCAGACUCCUACGGGAGGCAGCAGUAGGGAAUCUUCGGCAAUGGACGGAAGUCUGACCGAGCAACGCCGCGUGAGUGAAGAAGGUUUUCGGAUCGUAAAGCUCUGUUGUAAGAGAAGAACGAGUGUGAGAGUGGAAAGUUCACACUGUGACGUAUCUACCAGAAAGGACG